rnacentral:rRNA from 1 species
GAUGAACGCUGGCGGCGUGCCUAAUACAUGCAAGUCGAGCGAACAGACGAGGAGCUUGCGCCUCUGUCGUUAGCCGCGGGCGGGUGAAUAACGCGUGUAUACCCUACCUAUCAGACUGGUAUCACUUCGGGAAACCGGCUCUUAUACCGUAUGAUAUCUUGAACCGCAUUGUUCAAUGGUGAAAGACGGCUUUUCUGUCACUUCUAGCUGGAUCUCGGCCGCAUUAGCUAGUUGGUAAGGUAACGGCUUACCAAGGCGACGAUGCGUAGGCGACGUGAGAGGCGGAUAGCCGACACGGGAGCUGAGCCAGGGACCAGGCUCCUACGGGAGGCAGCAGUAGGGAACCGGACGCAGUGGGCGAAAACCUGGCGGAGCAAGCCCGCGUGAGUGAUGAAGGUCCUGGGAUCGUAAAACUCUGUUAUGAGUGAAGAACAGAUGUGGAAUGAACUAUGCACGUAUUGACGGUACCGGGUCAGAAAGCAACGGCUAACUACGUG